AGGUGACCCCCGCAACCAGUGAGAGUGAUGUGACUGAUAAUGGCGCUGUCUUGUCGUGGAUUUUUCAGAGUGUUAUGGAGGAGGAGGGCCUGUCUCUUGCCAAGGUGACCCCGGCAAGCAGUGAAUGCGGUACAUAUUCUGGAAUCAGCCUCUUCCUGAGAUAAAACUCUAGAUGGUAAUGCAGGUGGGGCAUCCUUGCAAUCCUCAGUCUGACGAGCCGCCCUGAUUGGGUUGUGGGGGUGUGCGGUGGACCAGAGAAUUCCCAGGUGACAAAGUGUCCAUGUGUCUACAGUCCUAGGAAGGCAUUGUACUCCCUGUGUGUGGUGUGGGUAUGUGUGUGUGAGGCUUGGGGUUGCGGUGACUUUUGUGGCUCUAUGUGGUAUGAUUGUGUGUGUUUUUGUGUGGUAGAUAGGGAGAGUCAGACACAAAAAGAGAGAGGCAGACAGGGAGCGGGAGAGAUGGAAAGAGUGAGAGAGAGAUUGCAUAUUUUUCCAGGAGGUGUAUAUCACUGCCACUGCCCAAUGGCCAUUGUCCACAUUCAAAAUAAAAAAGAAAGAAGAAAGAAAGAUAGAAAGAAAGAAAGAAAGAAAGAAAGAAAGAAAGAAAGAAAGAAAAAAGGAAGAAAGAAAGAAAGAAAGAAAGAAAGAAAGAAAGAAAGAAAAGAAAAGAAAAGAAAAGAAAAGAAAAAGAAAGAUAAUAAGAAUAGAAAAGAGAAGAUAAAGAAAUCUCGUCACAGGGCACACAUUAUAGCCCUAUUACCACGGGAAGCCAAGCGGUUGCCCUCAGUUCAUGCCUGGGAACCAAAUGCCUCCAUAUGCUCUAACCCCAUUCAUAGCGAGCAAUACUCCCCGAGUCAUUCUGCUGCAGAUGUGAGGUGAGAGGCACAACCUGGAGCACAUUUCUCUCUUCUCCUCACCACAUCCCUUUACUGGGACCAGAGCAAGACCUGCACUUGGCUCCAUGGGAGACAGGCCCAUAUGCAGAUGCCAGGAGACCCUCGCUGGCUGACGGGAUUUCUAGAGGCCUGUGUGAAGGCUGCUGGGCUGGCAGCACACACUGGCUCUCAUGGUCCCUCUGAUCUGGUCUCCUGGGACUGACCGGGCCCAGGACAGAGGCUCUGGGAAGCAGGGCCAGGGUCUUUGCUGCUGUCAGAUCCCACAGACAGCGAUGGGCCUGGUCCCCACAUUGUGGUCACGGCCCACCCUCGGACCUUCCAUCCAUCUGCUCGGUGCCUCCCCUAGUCCUUCCAGGUCUCACUGUCUUUGGUGAACACUGCAGGUACUGGUGUUUAUGUGGCCACACCAGCUGGAGAAUGCCCAUCACCCCACUGACAGACUAGGGGAAUUCAGAAAAGUACCAUUACCUCUACUGUCACAUUCAUCUCCUCUCUGGGCUAGGACACUUAUGGGCUGUCAUCAAUAGGAAGUAUGUCUCAAGUGCCCAAGAUGAGCCCAGGCACGGGGCAGUCACUUGAUUGCCCAGCUGAUGGUCACUCUCAUGGCCCAGCAUCACCCCAGGCCUGUGGCAGCCACCUCCAUGUUAGCUGCAUUGGCUCAUUGAUCAACUGAUUGACUAGGGAGCGUGUCAGUAAACCCAUGAUCGUUCUUCCACUGUUCCCAUUGCAGAGAACAGUCCAGUUGUUGGAGGUGACAGGAGAGGGGAAAUAAGAAAUUAAUGAUUCAGGGAGAGAGGAGGGAGGGUAGCAACAGGGAGCAGAGGAAGGUAGGAAAUCAUGGGGACAGAAAGUCAUGGGCACCACCGUGGCUGCCUCUUGAAAGAAUGGGCUGACAGACACUGCUUCAUGGUCCCAGUUAUGACAUAUGAGGGCUGGGAAGGGCCCAGAGACCCUGGAUUCCUUUCUCAUUAGUGAGGUAAGGGGAUCACGGCCCCAUGGGUGGUGAGGUGGGGGGACUGCGGAGCUGAGGGCAGCAUUGAGUUUUGGUUGGGGACAUAAUCCCAGAGGCAGUGGCCUGAGUCCUCACAUCACCCUGAUUGUCCCCUCUCCUUGCUCAAGACCAGGCCAUGACAAUGCCCACUGUCAUCCAUAAGGAAGAUGGCUUCACAGGUUGUGAGGACUCAGACCCAUAGAUCCACCAUCCGCAUGUAAAUUAUUUCCUCUUUCAUUUUUAUACUCCUUUUUUUUUAUUAAAGAUUUUAUUUAUUUAUUCGACAG